UACGGAGGGUGCGAGCGUUGUUCGGAAUCACUGGGCGUAAAGCGCGUGUAGGCGGUCUGCUAAGUCUGAUGUGAAAGCCCGGGGCUCACCCUCGGAAGUGCAUUGGAAACUGACAGACUGGAGUCCCGGAGAGGAGGGUGGAAUUCCUGGUGUAGCGGUGAAAUGCGUAGAUAUCAGGAGGAACACCGGUGGCGAAGGUGGCCCUCUGGACGGUGACUGACGUUGAGACGCGAAAGCGUGGGGAGCAAACAGG
rnacentral:rRNA from 1 species